rnacentral:rRNA from 1 species
ACUCCUACGGGAGGCAGCAGUAGGGAAUCUUGCGCAAUGGGGGCAACCCUGACGCAGCGACGCCGCGUGAGCGAUGAAGGCCUUCGGGUCGUAAAGCUCUGUCCUGCGGGAAGAAGAAGUGACGGUACCGCAGGAGGAAGCCCCGGCUAACUACGUGCCAGCAGCCGCGGUAAUACGUAGGGGGCGAGCGUUGUCCGGAAUUACUGGGCGUAAAGGGUGCGUAGGCGGUCUGUUAAGUCCUGUGUGAAAGACCUCGGCUUACCCGAGGGGUGGCAUGGGAAACUGGCGGACUUGAGUACCGGAGAGGGUAGUGGAAUUCCCGGUGUAGCGGUGAUAUGCGUAGAUAUCGGGAGGAACACCAGUGGCGAAGGCGACUGCCUGGACGGAAACUGACGCUGAGGCACGAAAGCUAGGGGAGCAAACAGGAUUAGAAACCCCAGUAGUCC